UGCCUUUUGUGUUGCACAUUCUUUCCACUUCCUCUAAAGAAUGUGCUGUCAAUAAAGGCAUACAGUAAACUCUUGGUUUGGCCUUUGCUAAGUGAUUUCUCUGUAUCACUUUGUCUAAAGCUCAUACCAAGUAUAACA